ACGAACGCUGGCGGCGUGCUUAACACAUGCAAGUCGCACGGGAUUUAGUAAACGGAAGCCUCGGUGGAAGAUUACUAAUGAGAGUGGCGAACGGGUGAGUAACGCGUGAGCAACCUGCCUAUGACAGUGGGAUAGCCUCGGGAAACCGGGAUUAAUACCGCAUAAAAUCGUAGAAACACAUGUUUCAACGGUCAAAGAUUUAUCGGUCAUAGAUGGGCUCGCGUCUGAUUAGCUAGUUGGUGAGAUAACAGCCCACCAAGGCGACGAUCAGUAGCCGGUCUGAGAGGAUGAACGGCCACAUUGGAACUGAGACACGGUCCAAACUCCUACGGGAGGCAGCAGUGGGGAAUAUUGCACAAUGGGGGAAACCCUGAUGCAGCGACGCCGCGUGAACGAAGAAGGUAUUCGUAUCGUAAAGUUCUGUCCUAUGGGAAGAUAAUGACAGUACCAUAGAAGAAAGCUCCGGCUAAAUACGUG
rnacentral:rRNA from 1 species